GUUUUAUUUUAGCAUCCCCCUAGGUUUCCGAGAGCCUAGGUUGGGUUGGGUCUGAUCUGUCCGUCUGAUGGAAUCCUGAGCUCCCAAAUCUGGAUGAAACUGAUUUCCUGGUCCUGGGCAGGCUCGCAGCAGCGCCUGUUAUAAAAACAAAGGCUGUGCUGAUGGGGGGGGAAUCCCACUACAAAGCAGGGCAUGGGCAUUACUGCUGGGCUGUGGGGUUAGGAGCGCGUUCCACGUGGGGUUUACCAACUCAGCGGUGACCCUCUGGGUCAGCAGUGCUUCAGUGGGAUGUGGUGGCCACGGAGGGAGACGAUUUAGGGGUGGGGUAAAGGAAGCCGUGCAAUUGGAACAGGGCGGGUUGCUGUCAGCGAAAGGCAUGAAGUCAAAAAUAAAUAAAUAAAUGGAAGCCUAAUUGCCAGGGUAAGAAAAUACAGAGGAGGAAAGAGGGAGAUGAAGGGGGAGAACAAGAGCAUCCCCAGUGGCAAAACGGUUAAAAGAGAAGAGUAAAAUCCAGCGCAAAAUCAAGCAGUCAAGUAGUUAAUUGACUUUGCUUUAAUCAGCCCAAUGAAUAUUCAUUAGCGUGCUGGUCCUAAUCACGGGGGCCAUGUUGGCCGCGUUCAGCAGGCGCGCGCCCAGCCCCGUGCAUGCCUCAGCAGCCGCCGUCCGCCCGCACCGCACCGGGGCUGCGGGGAUUGGCCCGCGGCUGCCUCCGGGAUGCCAUAGCAACCCCUGGCCCGUUGCCGUGGCAACAGAGGGGUUUUGUAAGGGCCUGAGCCAGUAAUCCAUAGGCUUAGCGGCGGCAAUGUGUCUUUGUGGGGCGUGCGGGGUGGAUGUAUGGCCGGGAGAUUGGAUGGGCGGGCGGCGUGCGUGGCUCCCAUUGUGUGCCCGCGCCGUGGGAGGGGGCUGCGGGGUCUCCUCCUCCUCCUCGACUCGAGAAGCUGAACAGCCCUGUUCAUUGUUGCUCGGAGCUGUGGUCCCAUAGUGGUGUACGUGGCCGCAGUACUCGGUGGGAUCGUCUGCACCAUCUCCUGGAUGUUCCAGGUGUUGAGGAAGGGCCGAUGCGCUCAGCUGAGAGAAGCAGUCAUCCCCAGCACAACAGAACCCAGUGGCUGCAGGCUACAAAAAUCCCCACAAAGUGGUCCCUGCUGGGAGAAAGAACCCUCAAGACAAAACUCAAGGUGUCUCUAUUCCCUUCUCCAGAAUGAUUCCUGAGCCAGCUUUUCAGCAACACCUGAGAUAUUUCAGGAUAUAGAUUGUGAGUCCUGAAUCUUGCAGUCGAUACCAAUGGGAAAGCCGCCACCAGGGGCCAGAAGCCCAAAGGGCAUCCCCAGUUGCAAGCCUUGCUCUUGAGCUUCUCUUACAUAUCAAGAGAACGCAGAUUCAUACUGAACAGGAGGACAGGAGCCAUGGGGACACGUUGUGCUGAACCCUUGGGCAGUUCUGCAGAAGCUCCUUUUUUCUCAGGCUCCUCCGAAGCCACAGAGCUCCACGUGGUUUUAAGCGCUGUGAUUUUUUUCCGUCAAAAAUAAACUUUGCUCUCAAAAUAAUUAGCA
ensembl:lncRNA